GAUAAACGCUGGCGGCGUGCCUAACACAUGCAAGUCGAACGAGAAAGGGGCUUCGGCUCCGAGUAAAGUGGCGCACGGGUGAGUAACACGUGGGUAACCUGCCUCUAAGAUUGGGAUAACUCGUCGAAAGAUGAGCUAAUACCGGAUAAGACCACAGUUCCCGCGGGAACAGGGGUCAAAGGGAGCCUCUGCUUGCAAGCUAUCACUUAGAGAUGGGCCUGCGCACCAUUAGCUAGUUGGUAGGGUAACGGCCUACCAAGGCAAAGAUGGUUAGCUGGUCUGAGAGGAUGAUCAGCCACGCUGGAACUGAGACACGGUCCAGACUCCUACGGGAGGCAGCAGUGGGGAAUAUUGCGCAAUGGGCGAAAGCUUGACGCAGCAACGCCGCGUGAGUGAUGAAGGCCUUCGGGUCGUAAAGCUCUGUCGGGAGGAACGAAUGCUCCCAAGGUUAACAGCCUCGGGAGGUGACGGUACCUUCAAAGGAAGCACCGGCUAACUCUGUGCCAGCCGCCGCGGUAA
rnacentral:rRNA from 1 species